GGGUCCAUAACUCAGUGGUAGAGCAUUUGACUGCAGAUCAAGAGGUCGUUGGUUCGAUCUAAGGCCUAACUCA
rfam:Cicer arietinum chromosome Ca4, whole genome shotgun sequence.